rnacentral:rRNA from 1 species
CUUGGUCAUUUAGAGGAAGUAAAAGUCGUAACAAGGUUUCCGUAGGUGAACCUGCGGAAGGAUCAUUAAAAGAGAGCCCGGGGUGCCUUUUUUGGCCCCCAGACCUCCCACCCUUUGUGAACGUACCUUGAGUUGCUUUGGCGGGGCGUGGCCAGAAAUGGUCCCGCUGGUCCCCUUCGCCCGGGGCUAGCGUGCCCCCGCCAGAGGAUCAUAAGAAUCUUGCUUUAAAAACCGUGUCUGAAGAAAUAUACUAUUGAAAUAGCGAAAAAACUUUCAACAACGGAUCUCUUGGUUCUGGCAUCGAUGAAGAACGCAGCGAAAUGCGAUAAGUAAUGUGAAUUGCAGAAUUCAGUGAAUCAUCGAAUCUUUGAACGCACAUUGCGCCCCCUGGUAUUCCGGCGGGCAUGCCUAUUCGAGCGUCAUUUCUAUCCUCAAGCUCCGCUUGGUAUUGGGAGGCAAGCCUUCUCCCCUCGGGGAGAGGCUCCUCCGAAAAUUAGCGGCGGAUCGGUCGGGGUCCCAGCGCAGUGACUAUUUUUUUUCUCGCUGAUUGGAUCCUCGGACGGCUCCUGCCGGGCUAAAAACCCAUUAUUUCUUUCAAGAUUGACCUCGGAUUAGGUAGGGAUACCCGCUGAACUUAAGCAUAUCAAUAAGCGGAGGA